rnacentral:lncRNA from 1 species
CCAAAGAGGGCGAAACCCAGUCUUUGCCUGGAAAAGAACUGCAGAAACCUGGAAGUACCCUGUCAGCGCACACGCCGUGGCAGCCCCUGACUGGCUGUGACCACCCAUCCCGACAUCCGGACUCUGUCUCUGCCUCUCGCGAGAUCUCGAAUGUGCGUUCGUACUUCUCGCGGGAUCUCAGGCAUCAGGAUUGAAGAUUAAAUGAUGCCCGCCCUAAUCCUGAGCGCCAGGGACCUGAGAUGCUGGGUCUGCGGUUGUAACUUGCUCAAGCUUGAUGCUAUCGACAGAGAAACAAGUGAAGCAGGUCAUAUCAGAAUUUGAAUUGCAGAAACAACUGGAGAUAAGAGGCAGGGCCCCAAAAAGAUCCUGUAGAAGGUCCCAAAACGGAACCGACCCACCCCUCAGGGAGCCAGGGCUGGAGAGGAGCUAUCACAACACCCAGAAGAUCAGCGAGGAGGCUCCUGUGGUUAUCAUC